UCCCUUCCACCCAAUCCUCUCCCCCUUUAUUUUUUUUAACUGAGUCCCAAGUCCUUGAUCAAACCAUGCUCCUCUGCUCCUGUAGGUCUCGCUUAGAUACCAGUACAGUGCAGAUUGCUUUCUCUAUUCAAUUGAUUUGGUUGUCUAUGUAUUACCUGAACACCAAGGGAACCAACUUACAUGGCGUAAUGGAUGGAGAUCAGUAGAUGUUUUCCUGAUCUGUUCACUUGUUUUUAAUAGUUCCCGUCAGAUUACAAGCAUGGGCUUUGUGCAAUAGGUGUUAUUGGGGCGCAUUUUUUAAUGGUUGGAAACAAGAUGUUGCUGGUGUUGGAGCUCACAGAGAAGGGUAUUAUGAUAGUCUACUUACUUCUGAAGGCGCAUUAGAAUAUAGUGGAUGUCCAGAUUCAUUGGCCUCAGAAAGAUAGUGAUAAAAAUCCUGAAGUAUUGUUCGCAUUUUCCUCUAAAAAUGGAAAGAGCAAAUAUAAAGAAGGUACACAGUCCUGUUCAUUGUCAUGGAAAAUUAUUAUCCUUUUUGUUAUCCUGAGUAAUUGUUGUUGGAUGCUAUUUGCCUCUUUGAAAAACAUCUGAUGUAAAUUUGUUGUACUCCAAGUCUCCAACUCACAUACCCUACGACUAGACCCAAAACGUACUACUAAAUGGUUCAAAAAACAUUGCAUGUUAUUUUAAAAGUCUUGAUCAAUAUUCUCGUGUUCCUGUGAUGUAGUAGACAAUUUUCUAUGCUUGGACAUUUUUAACUUUUCUUAUAGCAACUAUUGCUCUAAAAUUCAUUGCUGGUCUCUUACUUCUAUUGAUGGCAGAAGAGAAAACAUUUGGGUACACCCACCAGGAUAGUUUGUUCUACCUUCUACGUUUAUCUUUCUUUGGGGUUGCAGACCCUAAGAUAUCAAGAUAGCUCAUUUAAAUAGUAUAUUAAAUCUCUUGAUGGUAUAACAUGGCAUUGGCAGGAAUUAUUGAUGACUACUUUGAUGGAUACUUUUCUGAAGAAAUGAUUGUCCCGGGUACUGUGAUGCUCGCAGUUCUAUAUUUUUUAAUGCUUGCAUAUGCCAUUGUGGUACAAGAGUACUGCCAGAUUUUGCAAUGUUCAUGAUUCAGAUUGACCAUGAUUGAUACUGUUGUUUAAGAUCAUAAACUUUGUCAGGGUUGAUUAAAUAGGCACAUUUGAUUUUAGUUGCAGACCCUAAGAUAUCAAGAAAGCACUGCUACAAAUUUAGAACUAGGAUGUAGUUUUUCAUAGUUCCUGUCAAGUAUGCUUAUUUGCAAUCUAGGAUCACAAUUGUAAGGUUAAUCCUUUUAGUUGUGUAGCAUUGCAAAUCUCAGGUCUUGAAAUUUUCCUACCAUACCAGGUAGGAUUUGCCUUAUUUUGUAAUGAGCAAACAAAAAAUGUUGUAAAUAUAACAAAUAAUUAUGUGUAGUAGUAUAUGGUUGGAAAUUCCUUUCUUGUUCAAUGCAUAUUAGAGUGGAAUUUGUAUUGUUUGGUCUGCAUUCGCAGUCAACAUGGGGUGCUGAAGUAGUGUAAAUUGUUUGAAGUUGCCUUUUGGCCAGUAUAUAUAAGGAUGGAGUACUGUACGGUUUGGUCUUCCUUUUUGGUCUGUAUUGUUGAAUUGACACCCUUAAGCUCAGUGUGCUAUUGUUCUUCGUCGGUGUGGAGCUAGCCGUCGCCGCUAUGGUACAUGUACCUGUUGCCUCCGCUUGAUGUAGUUCGUGAUGGACAUAGACAUGGGAAAGUCGCGACGGAGAUCCCCCACUUCAACCCGCGGAUCCUGGGUGACUGUGGCGGUCGGCCGGUGACCGAGCUCAAAAUCCGGUUCAGCUUCAAUGGUUGGCUGCGCUCCAGUGCGAGGGGUGGUGGCGCUUCGAGGAGGAGACAGCUGCGUCCCUUCGUCAGUUGCUUUGUGUACUUCUACUUUUCACUUUCAGAAUCAAUUUGUGAUUCCAUGGUGAGUCAUUACCAACGAAAUUAUGGGGAAUUCUGCUCUAGGCAGCAGUCCAGGAAGCAACAAGCUCCGUCUCUUUGGUGUUCCAAUAGUGGAUAUCACUGGAAUAGCUAAAGGAUUUAGUUGUAACACUUUCUCUGAACUUUACUCAACAAGCAAGUUUUCCAAAAAUUGAAGUCGAAUUUUUCAGGGUUCCUAUACAUAUACACAAAUAGUGGGAAAUUAAUCGUCCUUAGAUAUUGUUGUGCUCUUUUGAAAAGCGGGUCUGUGUAUACAACAUACAGUGGAUUUCAUAUAUAUAAUUAUAUAUACUCUA